CCUGGAGAAUCCCAUGGACAGAAGAGCCUGGCAGGCUACAGCCCACAGGGCUGCAAAAAGUUGGACCUGACUGAGUGACUGAGCAACACACAGCAUGUCUUCAGAGAAAGUUUUCCAAGCCCUGACAGAGACCACAGAUAUGAUGGUGAUGAUGGCAUCUGAGGAGGUGGUCUGAGAAAGGCAAUACCAGAGGUGAGACAGGACGGAUGCAGAGGAGUUAACCAAACAAGCCUGAGAAUUCAGAGGAGGCCAAGGCAGGACUCCUCAUGCCAAGACAAGGAGAUAAGAGGGAGCACAACAAGUCCUGGGACAGCUGGAGUGUGGGAUCCACAAGAAUGGCCAGACCAGAGAAGUACACUGCGGCCACACUGCGAUUCUUCGGAAGUCAAGAGGAGUCCAGUAAGUGUAAGCAGGUAUGAGCCAGACCUUGCAUUCAGCUCUCUGGUUCUGAUAAUUCUUAUUCAUCAUUCAGUCAUAACAAAGGUACCAGCCAGUAUGGAUAUGAAACCUCACCUGAAAAUAUCAACAGAAGAUGGUCCAGUUCUAAGAAAUGGGUAUCCUGAGGGGAUGGAAUCACAUCGGCUGCUGACCUGGCCAAGAUCUGUUAUUCACUAAGCUGUUUUCACCACGCUGCUGGCAGUACUAUGGCCCUACAGCCCUAGCAGACACUGAGAGACGGAAGGUGCAUGCCCCAAGACAGACGCCAGGCGGAAGCCACACUGCCCUUCCCAACCUAGCCUUGGGAGUCAGGAGCUCAGUGGUCUAAGAGGACUUGACGUGUGGAAUGAAGGUCUCUCAGCCUGCGAUGUAUUCAGCCCGCCCCACUACCCAGCCUCACAUGGAUACCAAUGCAGCCAUGUCAAGUGACAUUCAUUUGGAAGUCUGUGAACAAAAGAGAGGCACACACCUAAAAGUGAAGUUACAUGUGUGGAUGUUUAUAUGAAACAGAAAAGACACAAGAAAGCGUCUGAGACAUGAAAAACGGUGGAGGAAGAUAAACAUUUCAAGAUUCAUAUCACACUGCUGCUGCCUUGAUUCAGAGAGUCUCUAAGGAAAUAGCCAGAAGGGCUGCUCAACACUCAGCUUCCUCCCAAGGAAUAAAGAGUUUGCUAUGAGCCAAGGAAGUGCCAAGAAAAUGCCAAUUUAUGUCACACUAACAUCUUUCUUAAAGCUGAACGUGGACUUCAGAAAUGUAAACUUCUGGCUCCAGUGAGCACAGCCAGCCUUAAGGGAUUGAUAUUAGGUUCUUCUGAAGGACUGAGGGAAAUUUGAGAAGAGAUCAAAUUAGACACCCAGUAAUUAGAAAAUGUACUGACACCAGAGUUUUAUUCACAAGAGUGGUGGGGUCAAAUUUUCCAUGGCACCUGAUGUGAACUCAGAAAAAUGGCAACCUGAAAACAGUGUUUGGAAAUGAUUUCACUGGAGACAGACAGAGACAGCAAACGCUGGAAGGAGAGGGAACGAGAGAGAAACUAAAGUGAGACUCUGUAAUUGAGAAGACCUGCGGGAACCAGCAGAAAAAGUUUCCUGCCACAGACAAAACAACCUUCAAAGGCUACCUUCUUUCUCUCGUCGCUGGGGUAAAGUUGCUUUUGGAAUAACCCCCAAUGCAUUAUACAUAUUUAAAACUCUCCUCUCUGGGUUUAUAAUUUUCGCAGAGACAGCUUCCUGCCAACGUAAGUCAUGAAUGUAAGAUGAUGCUCCUUUGUGGGGUUGUAAAGACAAUCUAAGAACAAGUGAUUUCAGAGUCACAAACUUCACAGCUGGGGAGCAUUUCCAUUGCCUAAUGCACUUUCCCUUGAAGCUUUCAUUGUUUCACUCUUACCCAGUGGUGUCAUUAUUUGACUUACCUCAUCGGGGAAAUCACUGUUUAAAAACUGAAUAUAAACGGUGAAAUAGUUUUGUACUUAUCUUUUCCAGGAUAAUAGCUUCCCUCCCCCGCUCCCAGUUCCCGCCACAGAAGGGUUAGGCCCCUGUGGGUGACGAAUUGUCCCAAAGAGUUUGAUAGUUCCAGGGAGAGAAAUGAGAGUAAAAAUAACUAGCUGAUUACCAAUAGGAAGCAAAUUGGCCACUUGAGAAUUCAGUGGCUAGAAAGAUGACAAAUGAGAAAACGAAAAUCCUCAUCAAGAGAUGAGGCUUUCUGAUCAGGCCAAGGGCUUUCCACGCCUCUCUCUCCCUGCUGUGUGAUGAUGUACAUCCGAUGGGACCUCGCUUUGUAUUGGGGGCAGUCACUUCCAAAUGGGUGUUUGAAAGACUUUGAAGUAUUUCAUUAUAACCAGGAAGCAUUCAGGGGCUGAGCAAGUAAAAUGGAAGAUGCUCUAUCUUGGGCUGUGGAAUGUACAUUUAUAGAAGGAACCCACGUCUGGUUGGUUUGGUCUGGCUUUUUAUUCCAUCACCCCAUAAGGCAGGCUUCCAAGAUUUUCUGGACUCUGGAAGAAAAUAAAAGUGAGAGUGUUCUUGGCCGAGGAAAUUCACAUUCAAGGCAGAUUCAAGGAUUUCAAUAUGUGGAUAGACUGGGUUUUCUCUGUUAAGAGUCAACUACUAAAAAUAGAAAUAAUUUGGGAAUCCUUUAAAGAGAGGCCAUUUUUGCUAGUCCUCAUUUGAAUAAAUCCAUAAAGUGACAGAGGGUAUAUAAUGAACUAUAGACAUGCUAGCUGUCCUCAAAAGCCAUAAAUGUAUCAGUGGUAUUAAGUCAUUUGUGCAUGAAGAGAUAAAACAGACCAUCAACCAUUAGCCUCCAACUGGGCACAGCCAUAAGAGUUGUAGAAAGUAAGAAGAGAAACUGGGAAUUUUGAGUUAGGUAAUCAAUACAAUUCAGGGAGGAAGGGUGAUAAGAUGCAGGCCUUGGAGGAUGAAUAGAAUUAUAGCAAAUUUCUGAGUGAGCACUGUUUGAAUGGAUAACAGCACUAUUUUCUUUUUUUAAAAAAUGAUUUGUUAAAAAGUGACUGCAAGUGGUUUGUCUUGAGUAAAGGGGUUUGGAAAGAUGAAUCGGGAUGUAGGUUUCCCACGUAUGCAUGGGCCUUCCACACCAGGCACAUGUGGGUUUGAUCUUAGGAGCAGUGGAGGAACAUGAGUGGUUCUGAGUAGUGUUAGAACUGUUUUUAGAGGUAUGUUAUCCCUGUCAGUGAAAAGAAAAGGCAAAAGGAUGUUCUCUGGAGCUUUACUAAUAGGUCAGAUUAAAAGAUAAGGCCACCAUUUUGACACCUGUGCUAUGGAAGAGAAGAAUGCAUAACAGUGCUUGGUACACAGAGGGGCUCAACCAAUACUGCUGAAUGAGCCUGAAUUUUCUCAGAAUCAGAGUAUUAUCAUUUCCUAGAAUAGCUGAGGAAGACCUGAGGUUGCCUCAGCCCUCUCAAGAGGUAGCAAUGAAUGAUUUGAAGAAGACCAGAUUAGGAGUUAUGUGAACCUGAAAAUUUAAAUUGACCUUCAUGGGUCUGUAUUAUCUCAGUUAAGAAAACAAAGGUUAGUUUUGUGAAUGAACUCUAAUAGAAGAAAGCUUUUUGUGUAUAUUUUUGGAGAGCCAUGUGUACCUUGAGUUGAAUGCUUGGAGGACUCUGUGACCCAACUCAAGGUUAAGAACCUAGGAAUUACAUUCCCUUUGGAAAACAAGAGAUGGUGAUUCUGAGAGUCCGAGAAUGAUUUUGUUCUCUGGAAGGACAACUGGGACAUCUGGAACCAUAGCUCUGCCAAUCUUGUCACCUCGGAGGCCUGUGACUGAUUGUUUUGACUGAAAUGAGGAGGAAAGGAUUUUGUUUCUAAAUGUCAACCCAGCCUCAGAUUCCCCAGCAAUUUAAGGAGUACUAUUGAUCUUAUCAGGCAUGCUGGGGUAUAAUUGACCAUCGAAAAGAGACAAAUCAUUGAAAGACACUUGCCCUCAACAGAAAGUGACAUUGGCAAAGUGUAACCUCUGACAUACCUUUUUUGUAGAAUUUUUUUGCAUUUCUGCUUCCUUUCAUAACAGCCUCUGUCAUAAGGUUGCUGGAAAGAAUAACUAGUUAAUGGUGGGGGAAAAGUACUUGGGAAGAUGAUGUACUUUGGCACUUAAGUCUAUUGUUCAAAAACAAUAUGAAAUAAUAUUUUUGUUGAAUGGACAUGUUCAGUAGGUGCUCUGAUUUGGGGAAUUGUCAAUAAUGAUAUGAUGCUGUUUGCCAGAAAUAUGAGCAGUUAAAAAAAUGUUAUCUUUCUCCAGAAGCUAUUUUCAGUGUAAAACUCCAGCAUGGAAAGCUAGUUCUUGCAAUUUUUAAUGAGGCAGGACUCUUAAUAAUGAUUUUUGGCUUAAUGUGUUAAUGAGUAGAGAUCUGAGGGAUAAAGGACUUACAAUGUAAGAAGGAAACUCAAAGAAAGAUUAGGCUCUAAUAAAAAUAAAUAGUUUUAAAAUUGAUUUUAAUAAAUUCAACUCUGUUUCCUUUAAUUUAUACCAUAAAGAAAUGCACUGUGGUAAGCUGAUUAUAGCAUUGGUAAAAGAAAGAAUGAAUAUUAUAUUUUAAUAUAAUAUUAAUAAAUUACAAAUGCCAACCUACAAAAAGAAAUCAUAUAGGCAAGAAUAUAUAUUCUUGGUGAGAAAAAAAAAUGUUACCUAUAAAUGUAAGUAAAUUUCUUUUCACUUUUUGAAUAGCAGAUGUCAGGUUUAAUUGAAAAGCUGAUUAGUUCCAUAGAAAAACAUCUAAAAUGGCAAUGCUAUGGAUAAUGGAGGUAAAAUUUAAAAGUACCUUUUCUUUCGAUUGUUUUGCCCUACUGAUGUCUUCUGCUUUUCCAAGUAGUAAUGAUGUUCCUUAUUUUUCAUUGAAAGUAUAAAAGUAUUAGUUGCUCAGUUGUAUUCAACUCUUUGCAA